AUGGACGUAGACUGUGUCCUCCUGGAAAACAGAUAUCCGUACAUAAAGGCCGCAUCGAUCGAAGUACUGCGACAGGAUCUGUGAAAGGUUGAUCGGGAGAAAACGCAGCUACUGUGCCAGUAAAUACUGCAGUCGGUGCAUCGCCUCUUCGAUGCCUGUGCCACGUGUUGCUGAUUUGACGGCCAACUCAUCAGCGCUUCCACUAGUUUAACAGGGAAUCGUUCCGAUUUCGGCUGUAUUGAGCUCAAAGAUCCAUGAUCAGGCUUGCCUAUUGCCGGGUAGAUUGUGCUUUAUAAUUUUGGUUUAUUUAAACAAUAAAUUUAAUAUUCGAUGGGGUUCUCAACGACUUUUUAUUUGCUGGCCUACACACACACAUACAUAUUUAUGUACAUACAUAUGUUGUAAAUACUUAGUAAAGAAUUGAGCUCCCGUUGAAAUUGGGAUUUGUGUAGAUUGGAAUUUACAAAAUCUAACUGCUGACCGGUGCGCCUCAAUACACAUUCGACAGGGCGAAAUAUUAUCAACUUGAAAAGUUUAUCAAAAGGCCCAGUGCUAAAUACAAGUAUGUGGAUACUUUUGGGCUAAUUGUAUUAAUAAAUUGCUUAGUUUUCGUUUCUGUUAUUCGGGUAAUGCAUACAGGUUUUAAGUCCGGGGGAGCACCACGAGUUGGUCAGGGUCUACAUAUAUGGUCGAAUUUAAAAUUUAGUCCUAUACACAUUUUUGAAAAGGCUUGCGGUUUGGUCUGUUCGAGGUUGAACUGUUCAUUGAUUGGUUAGCUAACAUUCAUUAAAAUACAUGUGGGGGGAAAUACUUUGAAGUGCAAAAAGAUGUAUGAUAAAAUGUACCAUAUUUACAGUGCGAUUCGCAGCAAGAAAACAGUUGUGGUAUUUACAGAAUGAACAAUUAUGACAGGACAUCGUCUGAUUGUAUAAAUCGCGCUAGUGCCACCGAAUCGAUGCUGCUCGAACAUAUUUUCGAACCGAAAGGAUGGCAUCUGCAGCCCUAAAUGUGUACUCGUUUGUACAAUAAACAUAAAUUACGUAGUCUUUAUAGCCUGUUCCACAACUGUCUUCUAGCUUUGAGACGCACUGUAGCCAUGAGUUCAUGAGACAAUAACAACAGAUCUUCAAUGUUUUAACCUUACACU